GCUGGAGUGGUGAAAUUGGUAUACACGCCUGCCUUAGGAGCAGGUCCCUUCGGGGGUGGAGGUUCAAGUCCUCUCUCCAGCACCA
rnacentral:tRNA from 1 species